AAAGAAAAAAGAAGAAAAAGAGAAGAGAGGAGAUCGUUCUUGUUUGUAUCAAAACCGAUUGAUUGGUCGUGCUUACCUAUCUUUCGUUAUAAUCGAAAUGAAAUUCUAUUCUGUUGUGAAAAGAAGAUAGUAUUGGGACGAUGACAAAAGACUUUUUCUUAAUCGAAAGAACGAAAGUCGAUCAUUCGUAACAACGAACAUAAGUCGGAAUAAGUCCACCGUGCGUGACGCAAGUUAUCGAAGCUACGAUGUUGCCUUUUUCGCUUCGGUAACAUUCCCGAAAAAGAGUUUGAAACGUUUCUUAGAUCUUUCUUUUCCUCUCUUUCUUUCUUUCUUUCUUUCUUUCAUUUCUCGUUCCCUCCCCCCGCCCACAAUCCGUCCCACCUCAAUCCCAAAAUCCAUUAAUCUUAGAUUGGUUAAUUUACGCUCGAGCGAACAACGUGACGAAUAUUUAUUUUUUUUUUUUGUUCUAUCUUGAAUAAUUGUGUUUUGUAAUGUAACUAAAGAAAGAGAGAGAGAGAGAGAGAGAGAGAGAGAGAAGCAAGGGUGGGGGGUGUUCAAUCGAAGUCCAAGACGCAGAUCCAAAAAGGAAUGGAUCUUAUGAAAACUUCAAAACUAGAUCUAUAAAAGGCAAAGGAACUAUCUUAACGAGCGUCAUUCUCAUAUCGAACGAUCAACGGUGUAACAAUAAGUUUUACUUAUCAAGUUAAAUCGAUUAUUUAAAAACAGAACGGAGGAUAUUCGAGUAAUUACGAUGGCUUUCAAAUUAUUCGCCGUCACUGUAAUCCUAUCGUCAGUAAUCCUGAGGACAGUGAAAUCCAAUGGUCAUCAUGCACAUUCCUUUCAACAUUUUCAUGGUCCUGUCAUCGGUGAAAAUCAAGAAGUGACGUGGAAGGACAAACAUGGCCAUCAUCAUCAUGAUUACGUUGCCCAUCCACAUUAUGAAUUUUCUUAUGGCGUCGAGGAUCAUCAUACCGGUGAUUAUCAUGGACAAAAGGAACACCGAGAUGCGUUUAAUUGCGCUGCCGGACCGAUCAAAAAGAAAAUAGAAAGAGGAAGAAUAGAAGAAGAAACAAAAAAGAUAAAGAAAAAAAAAAUAAAAAAGAGAAAAAAGAGAAGGAAAGAAAAAAGAAACAAAAAAAGAAAAAGAAAAAGAAAUAGUAGGGCCGAGAGAAAGGCGGAACUAAUGGUGGGAUACGUCUUGAGUCGCGAAGAUUAAGCGAACAGCGAAGGAAUCGGAAAUGGGAUGAGAAUGUAGAAAGUCGAGCGCAAAGUGAAACAAAUCGUCGUAUACGGGGGUUGAACUUCGGGAUUACCAACGCACACAUCUUGAUAUUUUUUUCUUCUCAACUUCUUUCUAUGUAGAAAGGAUAACGAGAGUUAAUUUUUACGAAUGACACAGCCGCAUUGCGUGCAGAUUUAUUAACGAUGCGAUGACGACGAGAUUAGCUUUACACGGACGACGUCGUAAAAAUCUUAAUUACAGAAUAGUUUGUCCUUGGGCUGUGGAAGCUAGCCGAUGCCAGGCGGCGCGCGGCAGCAGAAAUCGUCGGGGCAAUUAAAACUUCCGGACGGUAAGUUUAAUGCGCUCCACUGUACUCUGAUAAAAAGUGUAAACGGUAAAUGAGAUUUCGACGGAAUAAACUAGAUACCAAAAGUGAAAGAGAAAGAGAAAUAGAGAGAGAGAGAGAGAGAGAGAAAGAGAGAGGAUCGAAAUUGAACGGAAUUCUAAUUCUUCUUUUUUUC